CUGAUGUUUGGUGUUUACACUAGACUGAUGAGUUGCGAACGGGUGAGUAACGCGUAGGUAACCUGCCUCAUAGCGGGGGAUAACUAUUGGAAACGAUAGCUAAUACCGCAUAAGAGUGAUUAACACAUGUUAGUUAUUUAAAUGGAGCAAUUGCUUCACUGUGAGAUGGACCUGCGUUGUAUUAGCUAGUUGGUGAGGUAAAGGCUCACCAACGCGACGAUACAUAGCCGACCUGAGAGGGUGAUCGGCCACACUGGGACUGAGACACGGCCCAGACUCCUACGGGAGGCAGCAGUAGGGAAUCUUCGGCAAUGGACGGAAGUCUGACCGAGCAACGCCGCGUGAGUGAAGAAGGUUUUCGGAUCGUAAAGCUCUGUUGUUAGAGAAGAACGUUGGUAGGAGUGGAAAAUCUACCAAGUGAUGGUAACUAACCAGAAAGGGACGGCUAACUACGUGCCAGCAGCCGCGGUAAUACGUAGGUCCCGAGCGUUCUCCGGAUUUAUUGGGCGUAAAGCGAGCGCAGGCGGUUCUUUAAGUCUGAAGUUAAAGGCAGUGGCUUAACCAUUGUACGCUUUGGAAACUGGAGGACUUGAGUGCAGAAGGGGAGAGUGGAAUUCCAUGUGUAGCGGUGAA
rnacentral:rRNA from 1 species